UUCCUCUUCAAUAGCACACACAGUAAAAUUAGAGUGAUAAACAGAAGAUUAGCAUGCCCCCUUAUACAAGGACGACAUACAAGUGCUUGAAGCAUUUCAUAUUUUA
rnacentral:snRNA from 1 species